UUGAUCUGGCUCAGAUUGAACGCUGGCGGGAUGCUUUACACAUACAAGUCGAACGGCAGCGGACUUCCCAGUCUGGUGGCGAGUAGCGAACGGGUGAGGUAAUGCUGUCGGAACGUGCCUAAAGUAGCAGUGCUAAAGCGUAACUAAUACAUACGCCUUCGGGGAAAGCGGGGGACCUUCGGGCCUCGCACUAUUAAGCAGCCGAUAUCGGAUUAGCUAGUUGGUGGGGUAACGGCUCACCGAGCGGCGAUCCUUCAUGGUUUAGAGGAGACGACCAGCCACACUGGGACUGGGAACGGCCCAGACUCCUGCAGGAGGCGGCAGUGAAAUUUGGAUAAUGAAACCUGAUCAGCCAUCCACGUGUGCGAUGAAGGCCUUCAGGUUGUAAAGCACUUUUGAAAAAGCAACUGCGGGAUAAUACCCGAUGCAACUGACAGUACCUGCAGAAUAAGCACCGGCUAACUACGUGCCAGCAGCCGCAGUAACGUAAAGUGCAAGCGUUAAUCGAAUUACUGGGCGUAAGCGUGCGCAGGCGGACGGAAAGAAAAGUCGUAAAUCAGAGGCUUAACUGGAACUGCAUUUUAACUGAGCUGAAGUGUCAGAGGAGGUGAAUUCCGCGUGUAGCAGUGAAGUACGUAGAUAUGCGAGGAACACCGAUGGCGAGGCAGCCUCCUGGGAUAACACUGACGCUCUGUGCACGAAAGCGUUAGAGGGAACAAGUUAAAAUGCCUGAUGGCGUCACGCCUAAACGAUGUCAACUGGCUGUUGGACCUUCGGGCCUUGGUAGCGCAAUAACAUGAAGUUGACUUAUGGGAAAUGCGGUCGCGGGUGCUUCAAGGAAUUGACGGAGACCGCAGCGGUGGAUGAUGUGGAUUAAUUCGAUGCAGCACUUGAAAAACCUUACCUGCCCUUGACAUGUCUGGAAUCCCGAAGAGAUUUAGGGUGCUCACCAGAGAACGGAACACAGGUGCUGCAUGGCUGUCGUCAGCUCGUGUCGUGAGAUGUUGGGUUAAGUCCGCAGCUUGAGGCGCAACCCUUGUCGUGGUUGCACCACGAAAGGGCCUCCUAAUGAGACUGCCGGUGACCGGAGGAAGGUGGGGAUGACGUCAAGUCCUCCAUGGCUGGGUGGGCUUCACACGUCAUACAAUGGGUCGGGACAGGGGUCGCCAACCGCGAGGGGAACUGACUCAGAAACCCGAUCGUAGUCCGGAUCGCAGUCUGCAACUCGACUGCGUGGUGAAUCGCUAGUAAUCGCGGAUCAGCAUGUCGCGGUGAAUGGUUCUUGGUCUUGUACACACCGCCCGUCACACCGUGAUUGGGUUUUGCAAGUAGUUAGCUAAUACGCCAAGGAGGGCGAUUACGGUAGGAUUCGCAUUGGGGUGAAGUCAACAAGGUAG
rnacentral:rRNA from 1 species